ACGCGCGCUACACUGACAGAGCCAGCGAGUUAUUCACCUUGACCGGAAGGUCUGGGUAAUCUUGUGAAACUCUGUCGUGCUGGGGAUAGAGCAUUGCAAUUAUUGCUCUUCAACGAGGAAUUCCUAGUAAGCGUGAGUCAUCAGCUCGCGUUGAUUACGUCCCUGCCCUUUGUACACACCGCCCGUCGCUACUACCGAUUGAAUGGCUUAGUGAGGUCUCCGGAUUGGCGUCGAGAAACCGGCAACGGUGUCUCUUUGCUGAGAAGCUGAUCAAACUUGGUCAUUUAGAGGAAGUACAAGUCGUAACAAGGUUUCCGUAGGUGAACCUGCGGAAGGAUCAUUA
rnacentral:rRNA from 1 species